GCCUGGCUGGCUCAGUCAGUGGAGCGUGCAACUUUUGAUCUCAGGAUUGUGGGUUUGAGCCCCACACUGGGUG
rnacentral:tRNA from 1 species